rnacentral:rRNA from 1 species
UACGUAGGGGGCAAGCGUUGUCCGGAAUCAUUGGGCGUAAAGCGCGUGUAGGCGGUUCAGUAAGUCUGCUGUGAAAGUCCAGGGCUCAACCCUGGGAUGCCGGUGGAUACUGCUGGGCUAGAGUACGGAAGAGGCGAGUGGAAUUCCCGGUGUAGCGGUGAAAUGCGCAGAUAUCGGGAGGAACACCUAUUGCGAAGGCAGCCUCGCUGGGACGUUACUGACGCUGAGACGCGAAAGCGUGGGGAGCAAACAGG